UAAUACGGAGGGUGCGAGCGUUAAUCGGAAUUACUGGGCGUAAAGCGCAUGCAGGUGGUUUGUUAAGUCAGAUGUGAAAGCCCGGGGCUCAACCUCGGAAUUGCAUUUGAAACUGGCAGACUAGAGUACUGUAGAGGGGGGUAGAAUUUCAGGUGUAGCGGUGAAAUGCGUAGAGAUCUGAAGGAAUACCGGUGGCGAAGGCGGCCCCCUGGACAGAUACUGACACUCAGAUGCGAAAGCGUGGGGAGCAAACAGGAUUAGAUACCCUGGUAGUCCACGCCGUAAACGAUGUCUACUUGGAGGUUGUGGCCUUGAGCCGUGGCUUUCGGAGCUAACGCGUUAAGUAGACCGCCUGGGGAGUACGGUCGCAAGAUUAAAACUCAAAUGAAUUGACGGGGGCCCGCACAAGCGGUGGAGCAUGUGGUUUAAUUCGAUGCAACGCGAAGAACCUUACCUACUCUUGACAUCCAGAGAACUUUCCAGAGAUGGAUUGGUGCCUUCGGGAACUCUGAGACAGGUGCUGCAUGGCUGUCGUCAGCUCGUGUUGUGAAAUGUUGGGUUAAGUCCCGCAACGAGCGCAACCCUUAUCCUUGUUUGCCAGCGAGUAAUGUCGGGAGCUCCAGGGAGACUGCCGGUGAUAAACCGGAGGAAGGUGGGGACGACGUCAAGUCAUCAUGGCCCUUACGAGUAGGGCUACACACGUGCUACAAUGGCGCAUACAGAGGGCAGCCAACUUGCGAGAGUGAGCGAAUCCCAAAAAGUGCGUCGUAGUCCGGAUCGGAGUCUGCAACUCGACUCCGUGAAGUCGGAAUCGCUAGUAAUCGUGGAUCAGAAUGCCACGGUGAAUACGUUCCCGGGCCUUGUACACACCGCCCGUCACACCAUGGGAGUGGGCUGCAAAAGAAGUAGGUAGUUUAACCUUAGGGAGGACGCUUACCACUUUGUGGUUCAUGACUGGGGUGAAGUCGUAACAAGGUAGCCG
rnacentral:rRNA from 1 species